rnacentral:rRNA from 1 species
CUCAGGAUGAACGCUGGCGGCGUGCCUAACACAUGCAAGUCGAGCGAUCUUCUUCGGAAGAGAGCGGCGGACGGGUGAGUAACGCGUGGGUAACCUGCCCUGUACACACGGAUAACAUACCGAAAGGUAUGCUAAUACGAGAUAAUAUGCUUUUAUCGCAUGGUAGAAGUAUCAAAGCUCCGGCGGUACAGGAUGGACCCGCGUCUGAUUAGCUAGUUGGUAAGGUAACGGCUUACCAAGGCGACGAUCAGUAGCCGACCUGAGAGGGUGAUCGGCCACAUUGGAACUGAGACACGGUCCAAACUCCUACGGGAGGCAGCAGUGGGGAAUAUUGCACAAUGGGCGAAAGCCUGAUGCAGCAACGCCGCGUGAGCGAUGAAGGCCUUCGGGUCGUAAAGCUCUGUCCUCAAGGAAGAUAAUGACGGUACUUGAGGAGGAAGCCCCGGCUAACUACGUG